ensembl:lncRNA
UACAAACAUCUAUAUUUUGUGUUAGGAAUUGUGAUAAAAUUAGGAAAACAGCUGAAGACACUGAUUUAUACAACUCUGACUAUUUCAGGCAAUGAGAGGUUUACAUAUCACAGUUUAACAAGAUAAAAGGUCUCCCACGAAAUACACAGAUGACAGACAACUCAUCUGAAUUUGACAUAACACAGCAUCAAGUACACAUGUAAUGUGAUGAACAGUGCCAGGUCAUUCCCCAGUUAGGUAACAUACAACCUCUUCAAUAAGGCAAUUCAAAUAUAACUCUUAAUUCAAAUCACAACAUACCCAGGCAGCAUGCAGGGAAAAAGUCAUUUAUUUUGUACAUUGGAAUGACACAACUUGCAACAUAUUUCCAUUUUAUGUAGUUAGAGCAACAGGAUAUAAACCAUUCAAAUAAUAUAUAUAUAUUUAUAUAUUUCAAGUCAACAGUUGUCUUUACUGGAAUAAAGAUUAUCUGUUUUUGGUAAAAAUAAAACUAUUUGAAUUCACUAAUUAACAAAAUGCACAGUGAUCAGAAAUCCAAUUCUUCUCACACUUGUCUUCCCAGCUCACUUGCUUUUCCCUGUGAUGCAGCAGCUGCCUACCCUUGGAUUCAGAGAGCUCAUUGCACAGAGGAAUACCAAUGCUCUGGAUGUGGUUCCCAGUGUGCUGCGUGCUUUGCUGCGUGGUUGCCUGACCUGAUGGAUGGUGGUGUUUCCAUCACACCCGUAUGUACCCCAUGGCUUGGAAACUGCAUUUCACAUCUCUAUUUCUGGGUGCCUGUUCAAUAAAGCACUUGCACACAUGCUUGACCUUCCAUGAGUCAACAGUUGAAGUGCACGUGGAAACCCAUCCACUGGAUCAGGGCCCCAUUUCUUUAUUACCAAUUAAUUCCUGCAGACUUUUAUGAACAAGAAAUUCAAGAAACUGAGAAUCUGCUCAGAAGCAAAAUAAAAACCUGAGCCAAAAAUCUCUCUGAUGUGCUGCAGCCUAAUGGAUGUGGUUGUAUUUCCACUGCAACAGACUUGGGAAUCACGGAAGGUAAUGAAGGCUUUUCCUAGCAUUGAAAAGUUCCCUGAAGAGGAAGGAAUGAAGAAAGGAAAUAAGACUUUUCUCUAUUAAAAAAAAGAAUUGUUAUUUCUGAAAAGACUAAUCUGAGCAGCUCAUCCCUGGUAAUGGGCCGUACAUCCCCCUGUUCAGCUGUGUACUUGCAGGGGUGGAUCCUCUUGAUAAGGUAUCAUGUCCCGCAGUGGCUGAGUGUCCUCUGCCUCUGUCCCCAUGUGGGCAAGGGGACAGAUCUGGGUGUCAGCAGAAUUCCUUCUUGCUGCAUGUGCUCUGUGUGUUGUGGGAAUAGCUUUGGCAGGGGCCAUACCUCGUCAUGCUGAAUCCCUACGAAGCCCUGAGCAAGGGUUACUCAUGUGCCACAGGGCCUCAAGGGCUAAUAAAGGUAUCGUGCUCAUAGAUAAUGAAGAGGCAGAAGUUACCCAUGAGGAGUUCAAACGCCCCGAGACUGCAAAUGGGUGGUUAAGAGACUUCUCUCCUUCAAAUGAGCAACACAGCAGCGACAGCAGCUGAAACUGAGACCUUCCUGCUAGAGAACUGUCCCAGCCUUCAAACCCCAUCUGAAACUACGGGAGAAACUGAAUUUUCAGAGUGAUUGUGACUGGCUUCCGUUUAUCACCUUUAUAAACUUGUCUCGUGUGUCCUGACUACUCUAUUUACUGCUCUGGUAAAAAAAUCAUUGGCGUAUUUCUUUGCCCUUAAAGAUACAAAAAAGCAAAUCUUCAAAAGAUAGUGGGGAGCGAGGUGCUUUCACAAUGACAUUCAGAGCAAAGAGAGAGAAACAACGUUUUACAGAUCAUUAGAGAGCUAUCUUUGGCAGAAUAUUUCAAAUAAAUUAUUUCUUACAAACAUUUUCUGCAGUCGUAUAUCUAUUCUGAACAGUUCACUCUCAGCUAUAGGGUUACUGGAUCACUACUCUCUAUGAAUAGGAAAACACCACAAAUAUAAAAAUAGAUGAGCUCAGCAUGAUUUUUAGGCUACCACAACUGUCUCCAAUGGUUUCAAAAGUUGUAGAUCGAUACCACGGAAAACAUGAAACAGGUUUGCUAACAGCGUGUGUCAGGUUAGAGGAUCACAGCUUGUCACUGUCAUAAACACGCUGGGGAGGGCGGCUGGUGCCGCUGCGCGGGGUUAGCACGGAAACGAGUUGGAGCAGCCGGAUGCUCAGAGCCAGUCUCUGUCGCCACUGGAAUAUUGCCCGAUGGGGAAUUGUGUCUCUCUGACCAUAAGGCUUAGAGAUAUCACGCUGGGUGGCGGCUGCAGGGUUUCCACCCUCGGCAGGGAAGGAGGGAAGAAGGGCUUGCUGCGCUGAGAGUUUCUGACAACCAAAGCCAUAUCCAGUCCUGUGCUUUACCCGCAGGAGGGAGAUGGAACGCGGCUGCUUUCACUUGCAGAGUUGCCUUCUUUCGCCUUCGCAUGGGAAAAAGCACCCGGGGAGCCACAGGCCGGACCCUGUCUCAUGGGCUUUGGCCAGGACCCUAGCGGGAUGGUGACUCUGCUGGGUACCCUGAGCCUGGGCUAUGGUGGCCCAAGGAGUGACUUGCCCAGUCCCAACCUCCCCUUCCAGCACGUGCCACCAACUCCACCAAACAUUUAGAUUUCCAUAUUUCGCUUUGUUUAUACAACAUGUACAGAAUAUACAGCAUCGGAAUAUUAUUUCCCAGUAGACUACAAGUGUCUCCCAAGAUGACCUCUUUUAUCAACAAAUAUAUAUAAAUCGAAGGUAAUAAAAGAGUCGUACCAACAGAUAUUAUGGCUUUUCAAAUAGUGUAGCUGCAUUGUGCCAUCGAACUUAUGAGGAACCAUGAGAGAGACAGAGGGAUCAGGAGGCUUCAGCUGCUGAGUCCAGAGAUGACCCUCAGCUUUGACACUGCUGGGGCAGCGAAGCAGGCAGCAGAGGGAAGGUGGGGUAGAAUUUACCAUCCAUGCUCUGGUUUCUGUCUCCAGACAAGCCAGUUCUAAAGCAAACUCUCCUUUCAGCCCUGCUUUGGGAAUAUUUGGCUGUUCCCAGUUGGGCUCUGCCUGCCCCAUCCCCAGUGCGGGGAAUUGGGUGGCGCGUUGGGCUAUCAGAGAUCUCUCUGUCUUUCUCGGUCCAGGUUUGCACAAGACAUCUGUCUGCCCUACAGUGCCCUGUGGCUGUGAGGGGAAGACUCACAGGGAGAUGGGUGACACACGAUGUGGGGAGUGACUGUGGUGGGUGGCUGGGCUGACUGGUGCUUCGGGUGCAGCAGGAAGGGUGGUGGCAGCCUCCUCCCUGCCUGCCUCCCUGUGCUCAUCCCAGGGAGAUGGGGAGCUCCCCUCAGGCUGCUGGGCAGGGGGACAGUGGCUGCUGUCAGAGGAGAGCAGGAAAGCGUGAGCAUCACUUCUGGAGCACAUCACAAAUACCAGAGGACAACCUUGCCUCGACAGUGGCCUGGCAUGGUGUGCCCAUGAGGCAGGUUACCUGUGCCCCAGCACUGCAUCCUUGCUGCCUGCUGUGCCUCAUGGGGUGCAUCUAAACACUAGCUGUUCCCCUCACUUUUUAGGAGCCAUUUUGAGCUCUUUCUCUCCUGCAUCCUGCAGUUAUAGGGGGCCCUGGCUGCCUUAUCCAUGGGGAGCAUCCAUCAUCCCUGGGACAGGCUGUGCAGGCUCCCUGCCUGAGUCCACUCCUAAGUGGGACAGAAGAAGGUGCUGAUUUGAAUUACAUCUCUGCCAAGACAGAUGCGUUUCUAUGCCUUCUCCAAGCUCAUAGCAACAGCCUGUUUUCUACUCCAGAAAGAGGAGCAGUUGCUUUCCCCACAUUUCAAGUGUGCAGAAAUGGCUUUUGAAAACUGGAGCAGUUUGAGAACUCAAGCAUUGAGAUAACUGGCCUACUUAAUCACAGCAGAAAAUUAGUGAGAGAUCUAAAUUACUGCUACUGUAAUUUUUUUGACUCAUUCCCAUCUCGUUUCCCUCUUCUUCAGAAUAUUAUGGCCAGUCCCUGCAGGCCUCUGGCUGAAAUCAAGGCUGAUGGUCAGAUCAACAAGCAUGGGCAGCCCAGGCCUCUCCUUUGGCUCUGCCUGCAGGAUGCUGAGCAGGAUGGUGGCUCUGCCUGCUCUGCCAGUGAUACGGAAACCAGCACGCAAAGUCCCAUGGGAAACUUGCUGCCUUUGAGAUGUGUGAGCUUUCAUAGAACCAUAGAAUCACAGACGGCUUUGGGUUGGAAGGGACCUUAAAGCUCAUCCAGUUCCAACCCCCUGCCACGGGCAGGGACACCUUCCACUAGAGCAGGUUGCUCCAAGCCCCGUCCAACCUGGCCUUGAACACUGCCAGGGAUGGGGCAGCCACAGCUUCUCUGGGCACCCUGUGCCAGCGCCUCAGCACCCUCACAGGGAAGAGCUUCCUAAGAUCUCAUCUAAAUCUCCCCUCUGUCAGCUUAAAGCCAUUCCCCCUUGUCCUGUCACUACAGGCCCUUGUCAAAAGCCCCUCUUUAGCUUUCCUGUAGCCCCGUUAGGCACUGGAGCUGCUCUAAGGUCUCCCCGGAGCCUUCUCUUCUCCAGGCUGAACAAGCCCAGCUCUCUCAGCCUGUCUCCAUAGCAGACCUGCUCCAGCCCUCGGAGCAUCUUUUCUGAUAACAGCUUUGCUCCUUGGCAAUCUGACUGCUUCUUGCUGGGAAUAUCUCUUGGGCUUGCUUGUUGGGUUGGGGUGGAGGUAGCAUAUGGUGUCCUCCUUGUCCUCUUCUUGCUUGAUUACAUGUACUAUCUCCACCCCA